CUACGGGGGGCUGCAGUGGGGAAUAUUGGACAAUGGGGGAAACCCUGAUCCAGCAAUGCCGCGUGUGUGAAGAAGGCCUGCGGGUUGUAAAGCACUUUCGGUUGGGAGGACUGCUUCUAGCACUAAUAUUGUUGGAAGUUGACGUUACCCUCAGAAGAAGCACCGGCUAACUCCGUGCCAGCAGCCGCGGUAAUACGGAGGGUGCAAGCGCUAAUCGGAAUUACUGGGCGUAAAGCGCGCGUAGGCGGCUAGAUCAGUCGGGUGUGAAAGCCCCGGGCUUAACCUGGGAACUGCAUCCGAUACUGUCUAGCUUGAGUACAGGAGAGGAGAGUGGAAUUCCACAUGUAGCGGUGAAAUGCGUAGAUAUGUGGAGGAACACCAAUGGCGAAGGCAGCUCUCUGGCCUGAUACUGACGCUGAGGUGCGAAAGCGUGGGGAGCAAACAGGAUUAGAUACCCUCGUAGUC
rnacentral:rRNA from 1 species